rnacentral:snoRNA from 1 species
AGCCUCAUUCUAGAUGAGAAUGGGCACUGUUGAUCACGGUGCUCAAAAAUUGUCAGUGUGGCUUUUUUCUGAUAGGAAAUCCUUCACUUCCCUGAUAGAAUC